GACGAACGCUGGCGGCGUGCUUAACACAUGCAAGUCGAACGCUGAAGCCUUGUUCUUGUACUGUGCUGAUGAGUCGCGCACGUGUGUGUAAUACGUGUGUAACCUGCUCUUCACUCUGGUAUAAUCCUGGGACACUGGGUCUUAUACUGUAUACGCCACGCCACUGUAUUGUGGUGUGUGGAAAUGGUUUUACUGGUUUUGGAUGGGCUCACGGCCUAUCAGCUUGUUGGUGGGGUACUGGCCUACCAAGGCGACGACGGGUAGCCGGCCUGAGAGGGUGACCGGCCACACUGGGACUGAGACACGGCCCAGACUCCUACGGGAGGCAGCAGUGGGGAAUAUUGCACAAUGGGCGGAAGCCUGAUGCAGCGACGCCGCGUGAGGGAUGACGGCCUUCGGGUUGUAAACCGCUUUCAGCACGGAAGAAGCGAGAGUGACGGUACGUGCAGAAGAAGCGCCGGCUAACUACGUG
rnacentral:rRNA from 1 species